UCUACAGAUGCACGGCUGGUGGUGUGGCUCAGACGGAGCAAGGGUUACAUCAAGGCUGUUCUCUGGACCGUGCAAACAGUCUAGACCAAUGACCUGCAGCAUCAUGCCCUUUGAAGAAGAGGCAAGUUCGGUCAUGAUGAAGAAAAAUCAAGGCGUACCCCUUUUAACAAUAGGGAGCAGCUCGAGGCUGCAAAGAGGUUAUUUAUCAUUAAAAUGGCAUUGUAAAGUGAUGACUCAGAAGUUAACAGAGUUUGUGGCUGCUUCUGAGAAAGAAAACUCUUGAUGUCAGGUUCUGAAAAGUGAAGAGAAUGAAAUACAGAAUAUGGUAAGUGACUUGCAGAUAAACUAUUUCAGCCUCAUCUCAUCUUAUGCUCCAUUGUGCAGUUAUCAUUUGUAAGGUGUAUACAUAUAAAUGCAUACUUGUGGUAGUCACUGUUGCAAUCAGUUGUAAAAUAUGACCACAGUUGAAUCAAACUCCGUCUUCUCCUUUACAUUUAUUUGGAUAAACUUGAUGUAACAGACACUUGGCUAUCAAACAUGACAGGAGAUUUUUACUCUGAUUUUUAACUGGGGAAAAUUCGAGAUGGUUUGUAAGAUUGGGACACUCAUAUUUGUGCUUUGGUAACUGUGGAGUUAUAUGAGAUAAUGUUUAGGGUCAAGAUCUUGCUUUACAAAAGAGCAAAGACAUCAAUUUCUUAAAAUCUGGUUAUACUUGUUAUUCAAACUAUUCAACAUUGACAUGCAGCAGUUAAAAUAUAUAUAUAUAUGUGUGUGUUGAUGCUUACAAGGCUUGUUAAAAAGUAGUUUACAAAAAGCAAGUUGGUUUUACUGAGUUUAUAGAACCCCUAGUGUUUGGGGUUAUUCUCUUUUCUUGUUGUGUUUUCUAUAAUGAGUGAAGGUCCUUUCCUCAUUCUAUUCAGAAGAUACUCUGUGGGGCUUCUUAAUGGAUGAGUUAUAGGGGGUUGAAAGAACGAAGGAAAGACAGAGGAAGAGUGUUGCAGAGCCAUUUCUGGAGCAUGCGUAGAGACAUGCUGACGCUCUGUGCUCUCCUCAGUCCUCACCAUCCCACCCCACCCAAAGCCCAGUGAAUUUGUCCAUGCUCAUGGUGACAGCAGCAUGAACUAGAUUUUUCCUGGGAUAGUUUCCUAGAAACUACCAAUUGAUCUCAUUUUAUUUAGUUAGGGUCAUUCUUUUAGACUAGAAUUUCUUAAAUCAGGAUCAGAGAGUAAGCUUUAUAUAAGGUUAUUAGCAAUCCCUCUGAAAUAAUAUGUAGUAUACUGUAUGUAUAUUCUUUUAUCCUGUGGAGAUGAUCAAUAGGUUUUUAUCAAUUUUUUAAAGGAUCUUGAUGACACAAAAAGUUUUUAUCUAGCAUGGUUCUAUUAAUUUACAACAGUUGUGAUUAAAUAAUUUGAAGGAAGUAUAGAGACUUUAUGUACACAUUUUUAUUAAUAUCCCAGGUGGUGUUGGCUAUAAGUUUGCACCUUCAUGACUCCUUUUUAAUUAAAAGUGUUUUUAGAGAAAUAAAAACUAUUCAAAAGAGUUUUGUUAGUGUUUUCCCUUUUGUCAUUCUCUAAGUCCUGAACCAAAUUUAAAGUUUUUCUUGCAAAUAAAAAAAUAGAAAACUCCACUGAAGUUUGCUUUAUAGUCACUUUACAAACCUUCACAUAGACUUUUAGUUAUUCUAUGACUGAAUAUUUAUAUUUUAAAAUACAUUUAUUAUUUUUUUGCGUAUUCUUCCAGUAUUGAACCCUGUUAUAUGAGUAUUGAUCCCUAUUGCCUCCAGAGUUCUGUUCUGUUUGUUUUGUUGUUUUUGCUUACAGUUGUAAGUAGGAACAGCAGUUCUGAUCUGGUCACAAUUUUUCUACAUUUUUGUUGGAAACUAUGAAAAAUACUUGCUCUGCUUCCUGCACAGAAUAUCUACCCCUGGUAAUGUGGACACUACGUCACACUUCCAUCGGCACUCCUAAAGUUAUUUAUUCUUUGGUAUUCCAGCAGCCAAUUUUAUUUUCACUGAACUCUGUUUGUUAGGAGAUUCUCAGUUAGCCUAUAUCUAUACCAAAUGAUAACUGAUUUUAUCUUUUUCAUUAAAUAUGCAAGUUAUAAAGGAAUAGUACAGAUAUUUUGAUUUUUUUUUUUUUUUGAUGAAAGGGAGGAGAGAAGUUAUUCUGGUUUCUGAUGAGACCAAGAAGGCCUCCAUGCCAGCCCACAUCUCCAUUUGAUGGUGAAUGUGUUUCCCACCUAGAUGACAUCUGAAGCCUUUUAGCUUUAGUCAUUGCACCACAAUUAUUUUUUCUUCUCUUCGUGAAUCAAUUUUCCAGAAGAAAAAGUUGAAAUUUGAUAAGAUCAAUGUACAAAGCCAAAAGUUGCUCUGAGUUACGGUGUUAUUUCUCAGCCAGAUGCUUGUCUCUUCUGCCCAGCUGGAAAAUUUCUGUGAGCAGAGAUCUCUUUAGUGCCAAGAGGGAUAAGCAGAAUGGGAUGAAAAUAUAUCUGUUGUUACAUGGAUGACCCCACUCACACUGACUCUGUCAGUGAGUUUUCCUUAGAGUCCUUGGAGGAAUGCUUUGCCUAACCACCUAGCCCAACAUUUAGGAUUUACUUUUAAGAUAGUCAGUUAAUAUUUCUUAGACAUAAACUUUUGGCCAGAGUAACUGGAAACUUGAGUUUAUUAAACUUUUACAUACUUAACUAUGGUCUUCUGGGUAUUUUAAACUCAGCCAUUUGACUUCAGACCUUCUUUUUUACCCCCCAAAAUAUACAGUGUGAAAUGUUUGAGAAGUAAUUGGAUAUAGUAUCUUUUUCAAGUCCUUCAUAUCUUAUUUCGUCCAGAUAAUAGAGAAAAAUAUACAGUAUUCCAGUGAUUAAAUAUGCUAGACAUAGCUCGAAGCUUGAAUUUCUAGGAAAAUUAAACAGAAGUGGUAAUGAUAUGGAAUUUAGACACCUAAAUACCUAAGCUAAUAAUAUUUAUAUAUAUAUAUAAAUGUGUAAAAACCUAGCUUGAAAAACAAAAAAAAUAUAGAUAUGUAAAUGACUUAUGAGAUAUCAUACUAUGGAACAGUAGAAAACUUUUUAAAAAAUGAUAGCACUAUGCAUGUUCUGACUUGAGAAUUUUCCAUAAUGUAUUUUUGGGGAAAAGAUAAAUCAAGUUUAGUAUAAAUAUGUAUGAUAAAAUCUCUCUUCUCACAGAAAAAUAAACACCUAUAUCAAUCAUACUUUAGCACAUACACAUGUAUGCAAAAUAUAAUUUUAGUCCAUUUGGUUUACGAAAAUAAGACAAGUCAGCAUACAUUUGUUCAUGCAGUGAAAAUGUCUUCAAAUCACACACAGAUUAAUAGCUAUAUUAGGGGAGCAGAAUGAUCAGUUCAGUUCAGUUCAGUCGCUCAGUCAUGUCUGUCUCUUUGAGACCCCAUAGACUGCAGAACGCCAGGCUUCUCUGUCCAUCACCAACU
ensembl:lncRNA